CUACGGGAGGCUCCAGUGGGGAAUAUUGCACAAUGGGCGCAAGCCUGAUGCGGCAACGCCGUGUGAGUGAUGAAGGUCUUCGGAUUGUAAAACUCUGUCCUAUGGGAAGAAAAAAAUGACGGUACCAUAGGAGGAAGCCCCGGCUAACUACGUGCCAGCAGCCGCGGUAAUACGUAGGGGGCAAGCGUUAUCCGGAAUCACUGGGCGUAAAGGGUGCGUAGGCGGCCUAUCAAGUCAGAGGUGAAAGGCAUUGGCUCAACCAAUGUAAGCCUUUGAAACUGUUAGGCUUGAGUGCAGGAGAGGUAAGUGGAAUUCCUAGUGUAGAGGUGAAAUUCGUAGAUAUUAGGAGGAACACCAGUGGCGAAGGCGACUUACUGGACUGUAACUGACGCUGAGGCACGAAAGCGUGGGGAGCGAACAGGAUUAGAUACCCUCGUAGUC
rnacentral:rRNA from 1 species